UGAAGCAUAAAUUACUCUAGCUUAUGGACUGCUGAUAGUACUUCAGCAUGAUCGGUUUUCCUUAGAUGUCAAUACUUUUGUGUUAUAUCCAUUCUACUUGACUGUUGACUGAGAGCUAUUCACCAACAAAUGCAACGUGGGAGUUUCCAAUCUGAACACCUGUAUAAACUAUAUUCUAAAAUGGAUGCUGAAUGUCUUUAAGCCCUGAAAAUGUCAAAUGUGAUCACAUUUUACUUGUUUGACCAAGGUAAUGAGAUUUCCUGAAUAUAAAACAGGCUUUGAGGUUAUGGAGGCUGUGAUGCAUUUACUUUGAAAGACUUGUAUGUGGUAUGGUCUAAAGAGCCCCUUGUUUGCAGUAGCAGUGUAUAAUCUGUCUUAAUUACUGUCAGCACUUCUUUUGUAGAUGUGCAUGGAGAAGCUGUGAUUUAUCAUCUGGGUCUACUGCUGGAUAAUCAAAAUUCAGAAAUAACUAGAAAGACUGGAUCCUCCAUUUGGCAUAAGGAAUUUCCCCUCUACUCAUGACCUACCUCACUAAAAGCAGAAAAAUAGUGUGGACCACUGCAACGUAUCUCCAAAUGGGGCUUUUUGCUCAAUGGCUUUAUAUAACUGGAGGUCACUAGUGCAGCUAGCGGAAGAAGCUGCUGCUUAAAUGAAAUCAUGAAGAGAAGUUCUGUGAUGCAGAGCCACUGAACUCUUUUUUACUAAAAGUUUUCAAAUCAGAACAUGAGAAAAUUCUGAGAAAUGGAAAGGAGAUUUAACUUUUCACUUUAAGUUUACUUGCUGUUACAAAAUCAUUUUCAUUUCUAUUUUUUAAUUUUCAAGAAGCUUUUCCAUACGGGGAUGGAAUACAGAAUGAAUAGCCCUACAGGUUAUCAGGGCAGCACAGCGCAGGCGUGGGGCUCCUGUUGGCAGAGCCACCACUUGUUUCCUUCCUACCACAGAACCCGAUUGAUCUGACUUUGACGGAUCCCUGCGGAUUGAUUCUCUUUGCUGCCAGAGCGCGUUUCUCCUCUGCUUUCCUCCCAGCAGUUCUGACUCAACAAGUUUCUGCAGCCGUAGAGAGUCAGGCUCAAUAUUUUCCUGUAUGAUUAGAAUUUUUUUCCAGUUUCUGUACUCCUGGAGAAUUGCAGAAAGCUGAUCCCUGUACUUUCUGCAUUAACCCGAUGUAGUUCUGUUUCUGAAGGAGCAUGGAGUGGCCUCUCUGGAGGAGCCAUACAGACACUCUUUAG
rnacentral:lncRNA from 1 species